rnacentral:rRNA from 1 species
GAUGAACGCUGGCGGCGUGCCUAAUACAUGCCAGUCGAGCGAACGGACGAGAAGCUUGCUUCUCUGAUGUUAGCGGCGGACGGGUGAGUAACACGUGGAUAACCUACCUAUAAGACUGGGAUAACUUCGGGAAACCGGAGCUAAUACCGGAUAAUAUUUUGAACCGCAUGGUUCAAAAGUGAAAGACGGUCUUGCUGUCACUUAUAGAUGGAUCCGCGCUGCAUUAGCUAGUUGGUAAGGUAACGGCUUACCAAGGCAACGAUGCAUAGCCGACCUGAGAGGGUGAUCGGCCACACUGGAACUGGGACACGGUCCAGACUCCUAAGGGAGGCAGCAGUAGGGAAUCUUCCGCAAUGGGCGAAAGCAUGACGGAGCAACGCCGCGUGAGUGAUGAAGGUCUUCGGAUCGUAAAACUCUGUUAUUAGGGAAGAACAUAUGUGUAAGUAACUGUGCACAGCUUGACGGUACCUAAUCAGAAAGCCACGGCUAACUACGUG